rnacentral:tRNA from 1 species
GGGCGAUUAGCUCAGCGGGAGAGCACUACGUUGACAUCGUAGGGUCACUGGUUCAAUCCCAGUAUCGCCCACCA